rnacentral:rRNA from 1 species
CCUACGGGUGGCAGCAGUGAGGAAUAUUGGUCAAUGGACGAGAGUCUGAACCAGCCAAGUAGCGUGAAGGAUGACUGCCCUAUGGGUUGUAAACUUCUUUUAUAUGGGAAUAAAACGUUCCACGUGUGGGAUUUUGUAUGUACCAUAUGAAUAAGGAUCGGCUAACUCCGUGCCAGCAGCCGCGGUAAUACGGAGGAUCCGAGCGUUAUCCGGAUUUAUUGGGUUUAAAGGGAGCGUAGGUGGAUUUUUAAGUCAGUUGUGAAAGUUUGGGGCUCAACCGUAGAAGUGCAGUUGAAACUGGCAGUCUUGAGUACAGUAGAGGUGGGCGGAAUUCGUGGUGUAGCGGUGAAAUGCUUAGAUAUCACGAAGAACUCCGAUUGCGAAGGCAGUUCACUGGACUGCAACUGACACUGAGGCUCGAAAGUGUGGGUAUCAAACAGGAUUAGAUACCCUUGUAGUC